UUGAAUUGAGAAAUAUUUCAGGCAAACAAGAAGACACCACACACUUGGAACAAUAGCUUGCAACUCAAGGAAUCAACCAAAGUUGGAGUAUGCACUUGCGAAAGACGCAAAAAUUGAUUGGAAAAUCCAGUUUAGAAACUGGUGGCGAUCUUCGUUGAUGUAGGAUCAUCAAGAAGGAGCUUCACUUGAUCUUGUGUAUGUUUGACGAUUGACUGCAAGGAUCAAGGGGUUGAGAAAUAGAAGAGAGUUUGAGUUAGAUAGAUAUGCUUCGAGGAAGCUGGACAAAUCUGUAAAAGGGUCUCAAUUCUUUCUAUUGAAAAAGGCUGAAAUCCAGUUGGAUUUCAGGACUGGAUGUAGGCUGUCAUACUGACAGCUGAACCGAGAUAAA